GCAAAUAUAGUUUAACAAAAAUAUUAGAUUGUGAAUGUAAACAUAGAAGUUCAAAUCUUCUUAUAUGCU
rfam:Monodelphis domestica chromosome 5, whole genome shotgun sequence.